CCCAUACUCACAAAGGGUAACUUAGCCAUCUUUCUUUGAAGACAAGACUCACAAACUGGAUAUGACUCUGAAGUCAAUGGUCGAGAAGGCCAUCUUUCUCUAAUUUAUUAAUUCUAUCUUCUCCUAUAUGGCCUAGCCUAAGGUGCCACAGAUAUCUUUGGUUUAGCCUAUCUCUUGGUCUCUUAGAUCUUUUGGCAUUCACUAUUUGCUCAUUAACAUUCACACACACAUCAACAUGUAGAUGGUAGUGAUUGUCAAUCAUAAAAAUACGUGUAAAAUUUUAGUUUUAAAAUAAAUUGGACAUUGAUCUUUAUUGAAAGUAAAUAUAUAAUCAUCCUAUGCUAACACAGUCACAAAAAUUAAAUUUUUGCUAGCUACAUGUACAUAAAAAUAGUCUCUAAGUUCUAAACUAUAUCC
rnacentral:lncRNA from 1 species